AUCCUCUUCAGGGACAUCUGAUAAAAUUGGAAUGAUACAGAAAAGAUUUGCAUGGCCCCUGCUCAAGGAUGCACACACAAAUCAAGAAAUGAUUUUUU